AUUGAACGCUGGCGGCAUGCUUUACACAUGCAAGUCGAACGGUAACAGGCCGCAAGGUGCUGACGAGUGGCGAACGGGUGAGUAAUGCAUCGGAACGUGCCCAGUCGUGGGGGAUAACUACUCGAAAGAGUAGCUAAUACCGCAUACGAUCUAUGGAUGAAAGCGGGGGACCGUAAGGCCUCGCGCGAUUGGAGCGGCCGAUGUCAGAUUAGGUAGUUGGUGGGGUAAAGGCUCACCAAGCCAACGAUCUGUAGCUGGUCUGAGAGGACGACCAGCCACACUGGGACUGAGACACGGCCCAGACUCCUACGGGAGGCAGCAGUGGGGAAUUUUGGACAAUGGGCGCCAGCCUGAUCCAGCAAUGCCGCGUGCAGGAAGAAGGCCUUCGGGUUGUAAACUGCUUUUGUACGGAACGAAACGGCUCUGGUUAAUACCCGGGGCUAAUGACGGUACCGUAAGAAUAAGCACCGGCUAACUACGUG
rnacentral:rRNA from 1 species